rnacentral:lncRNA from 1 species
GAUGCUAUCCAUGCCCUUGAGAUGCAGCUGACGAACAAGAGGAUUCUGAGGAGGUAGUAGGAGCGUCCAAUAUGGACGUUGAAGAUGGCGAUGCCCCUUGUCCGACUCAUAGUGUUCCCUCAGUCGGCAACCUAGAUAACUUUUAGGUUGAGAACUGUAGGAAGCUAAUCUUUUGUUGUACUCCUCGGCAACCUAAGUUUUGGGUAGCAAUGUAAUAGGUUAGCCUUGAGUUGAG